rnacentral:rRNA from 1 species
GUGGGGAAUAUUGGACAAUGGGCGAAAGCCUGAUCCAGCCAUGCCGCGUGAGUGAUGAAGGCCUUAGGGUUGUAAAGCUCUUUUGUCCGGGAAGAUAAUGACUGUACCGGAAGAAUAAGCCCCGGCUAACUUCGUGCCAGCAGCCGCGGUAAUACGAAGGGGGCUAGCGUUGCUCGGAAUCACUGGGCGUAAAGGGCGCGUAGGCGGACUUUUAAGUCGGAGGUGAAAGCCCAGGGCUCAACCCUGGAAUUGCCUUCGAUACUGGGAGUCUUGAGUUCGGAAGAGGUUGGUGGAACUGCGAGUGUAGAGGUGAAAUUCGUAGAUAUUCGCAAGAACACCGGUGGCGAAGGCGGCCAACUGGUCCGAAACUGACGCUGAGGCGCGAAAGCGUGGGGAGCAAACAGGAUUAGAUACCCUAGUAGUCC